rnacentral:rRNA from 1 species
AUUGAACGCUGGCGGCAUGCUUUACACAUGCAAGUCGAACGGUAACAGGGUGCUUGCACCGCUGACGAGUGGCGGACGGGUGAGUAAUGCGUCGGAACGUGCCGAGUAGUGGGGGAUAACGCAGCGAAAGUUGUGCUAAUACCGCAUACGUACUGAGGUAGAAAGUGGGGGACCUUCGGGCCUCACGCUAUUCGAGCGGCCGACGUCUGAUUAGCUAGUAGGUGAAGUAAAGGCUCACCUAGGCGACGAUCAGUAGCGGGUCUGAGAGGAUGAUCCGCCACACUGGGACUGAGACACGGCCCAGACUCCUACGGGAGGCAGCAGUGGGGAAUUUUGGACAAUGGGCGAAAGCCUGAUCCAGCCAUGCCGCGUGUCUGAAGAAGGCCUUCGGGUUGUAAAGGACUUUUGUCAGGGAGGAAGUCCCUAGUGCUAAUAACACUGGGGGAUGACAGUACCUGAAGAAUAAGCACCGGCUAACUACGUGCCAGCCGCCGCGGUAA